UACGGGGGGGGUAAGCGUUGUUCGGAAUUACUGGGCGUAAAGGGCUCGUAGGCGGCCAACUAAGUCAUACGUGAAAUCCCUCAGCUUAACUGAGGAACUGCGUGUGAUACUGGAUGGCUUGGAUUUGGGAGAGGGAUGCGGAAUUCCAGGUGUAGCGGUGAAAUGCGUAGAUAUCUGGAGGAACACCGGUGGCGAAGGCGGCAUCCUGGACCAAUAUUGACGCUGAGGAGCGAAAGCCAGGGGAGCAAACGGG
rnacentral:rRNA from 1 species